GUGCCAGCAUCCGCGGUAAUACUGAGUGUUCACGCGUUAAUCGGAAUUACUGGGCGUAAGGCGCACGCAGGCGGUCUGUCAAGUCGGAUGUGAAAUCCCCGGGCUCAACCUGGGAACUGCAUUCGAAACUGGCAGGCUAGAGUCUUGUAGAGGGGGGUAGAAUUCCAGGUGUAGCGGUGAAAUGCGUAGAGAUCUGGAGGAAUACCGGUGGCGAAGGCGGCCCCCUGGACAAAGACUGACGCUCAGGUGCGAAAGCGUGGGGAGCAAACAGGAUUAGAAACCCCGGUAGUCC
rnacentral:rRNA from 1 species